UGCAGUUAAGAAAGAUCCAUCAAUUAAACAAAUUGUCUAGAUUGUAGCAAAAAAGAUAAUUCUUCUUUGGCAAAAGGUAUCCAUCCCUUGUGUUACAAUUGAAUCAGUUAAACUGAAAAUCUUAAACUUUUAUCUAAAGUACCAAGCAUUACUAAAAUAUGAUGAAAAUAGUAAAAAUUGUG